rnacentral:rRNA from 1 species
CCUACGGGUGGCAGCAGUGGGGAAUUUUCCGCAAUGGGCGAAAGCCUGACGGAGCAAUGCCGCGUGAAGGUAGAAGGCCUACUGGUCAUGAACUUCUUUUCCCGGAGAAGAAGCACUGACUGUAUCCGGGCAAUCAGCCCCGGCUAACUACGUGCCAGCAGCCGCGGUGAUACGUAGGGGGCAAGCGUUUUCCGGAAUUACUGGGGGUAAAGGGCGCGUAGGCGGUAAUGCAAGUCUUGAGUGAAAGGCGGGGGCCCAACCCCCGGACUGCUCUGGAAACUGUGUAACUGGAGUGCAGGAGAGGCAGGCGGAAUGCCUAGUGUAGCGGUGAAAUGCGUAGAUAUCACGAAGAACCCCGAUUGCGAAGGCAGCUUACUAAACUGUGACUGACAUUGAUGCUCGAAAGUGUGGGUAUCAAACAGGAUUAGAUACCCCAGUAGUC